rnacentral:tRNA from 1 species
AAUGUGGUGUAGUGGUAGCACAUUGGUCUCCGAAGCCAGUGGUGGAGGUUCGAUUCCUCUCAUU